CCAAAAAAGGCAACAGUAUCCAAAAACGUGAGGCAAAAAGCCAGGUCCAUAAUCGGAACAGGGUCGAGUCUUACUGUGAGUCUGUGACGUGGAAACAAGGAAGGCUGGAACGCGACGACAAGGUACAACGAAGUGGCGACUAGAAAGAAUGAGGCACGAGGUUAAAUGCAAGGGGUAAUUAGGGUGAACGAGGCACAGGUGGGGAAGAUGUUCUCAGGGGCAGGUGUGUAUGAGACGGGGAAAACAACAACCGGAACACACACCCAUGACAGUUUUGUUUUGUGGAAGUAAUUCUACUAUUUUCUGAACAAAAACAGCUGAUAAAGUGGCAGCAAUAAUUGAAUUCUUAAAACAAUUGCGGCCUUUGAGACUGAUAACUGGGAGGUCUGCAAGUUUGGUACUAUUGCAGUCUAUCUGUUCAAGUUCCAGCCUGGACACUGGCCCUGACUUCAGGGAGCUUCGACCCGACGGCAAUGUGUGAAAACUGUUUUUCCUCGGAGCAUGAUCAGCGCGAUACGAUACCCAGUCAUAAGUCAUAUGAUUCAGCUUGCUUUUGAAAACGACGUCAUCUCAUCACAAAUUUCAA